AAAUCAGUCUCAGUCUCGGCUCCCAAGGGGCAACAGCUCCUAAAUUUUUCGGCUUUCUAAUAAACAAAAUUGAAAUGUAAAAAAGUACUAUUUGCAAGCGACAUAUUUGUAGUAUUUUAUAAAGGGGGCUCUAUGAUGAUUCGACGCUAGGAUAUUACCUGUAGAAUAGCCUGUUUCGCAAAUGUAACGAGGUCUUCAAUCAGUUCGGCAUCAUGCGGAUAUUAAAAUGAAUAAUAUUAAAAUAUAAUAUAAGUAAUAUUAUUAUGAAAAUAGUCACAGAACACUAUACAUAAUAAUGCAUCAGCGACUGGCAACCACCGGAAGGAUGAAAACUACACUGAAAUAAUGGGAAAUGCGUUGUGUUAUUUUUUUCGACACUAAUUAUGGGACUUGUGGGACCCCAUAACACACAAAUUAAAAACACGAGAACGAAGAUGGCGUAAAUAUGGAAGUCUGCUUGGCCAAAUUACACAGUCUAGAUUCUAGAAUAUAAUCUUGUUGCAGACCUUAUCGUUUCCAAAUUUUCUCCCGAGGUUAAUAUCAGAGUCAGAACUAUCUUCUAAAUGUUUACACAAUCUUCAAUGGAGCACUUUACAUUUGCAGUAUAUACAGGAAAAUUCUUUUUUUUGUGCCCCAAGGGGCAGGUUAAGGACACACCAUUGAGAGGCCUCGUUCGUUGUCUUCAACGGGCUAUUCUUGGUUUAUCGGGAUCUCCCAGAGGAUGAUCGCGCAAUCUCAUUUUUCGGCCUUUUUAAAGAGGUGGCCAUGUCACAUUGUUAGAAAAAUUACUUGAUCCAAAAUGUGCGUGGUAGUGCA
rnacentral:sRNA from 1 species